AACGUGUAAAUGCAUAUCAGCUGGACUCAGGACCAGAGUUUACGAGAACUGCAGUAAACACAGUAUAUAGCGCAGUUGAGAGCCCCAAGGUAAAGAAAUCCGCUACAACCUAUGUAGAUAAAUACAAACUGGAUUCAAGACCAGAGCUUAUCAGAACUGCAAUGAACACAAUAUAUAGCUCAGCUGAGAGCCCCGAGAAAAAAACGAGAGAAUGUGUGUACCCACACGAACUGAAUAAAUGGCCAAAUCACGCGACUGUAUAUGGUGUGGUGAAAUGUCCUAAGAAACCGCGACGUAUAAAAGAAGAGAUAAAUACAUGCACAGUGUACAGCUCUGCUCAGAAAUGAAACAAACAACACGUGAAAUGUAGAAAACAAAACGUCCAACGAGGUUUAACUCUAGCUGCCAAGAUUCAGAAUUGUUACAGCACAAUAAAGAUAUUUGUAUCACAUUUUUGGAAAGUCACUCACAUAUUGUAGAGUAGUUAGCCACUUUCUACAGUGACUGUAUUUAAGCAGUGGCCGUUAUGCUACUGGCAUACUGUCUGGGUACCACUGUCUUCCUUUAACAGUUUUGCAGCAGAUGGUUCUGAAGAACCACAAUUAUCCAGUUGCUCUAGGCAUCAAUUAACUAUGGCAGGCUGUAGUGAUUAUGGUGCUUGGAGUGCUCAUUUAAUAAACCUAAGUAGUCCUAAGAUGGA